CAAGAGCUUAUGGAAAAAUGUAAAUUCCUGCCUCUUCCCAUGGAACUAGUCUUGAAGGAUAUUACCC
rnacentral:lncRNA from 1 species